AGAAGUGUGCCCGAGCCUAGGGGUUAUUUUGAUGAGAUAAACACAGAGUAACACAACUCUCACUUCCA
rnacentral:tRNA from 1 species